UGGGAAUUUUGGACAAUGGGCGCAAGCCUGAUCCAGCCAUGCCGCGUGCGGGAAGAAGGCCUUCGGGUUGUAAACCGCUUUUGUCAGGGAAGAAAUCUUCUGAGUUAAUACCUCGGGAGGAUGACGGUACCUGAAGAAUAAGCACCGGCUAACUACGUGCCAGCAGCCGCGGUAAUACGUAGGGUGCAAGCGUUAAUCGGAAUUACUGGGCGUAAAGCGUGCGCAGGCGGUUUUGUAAGACAGAGGUGAAAUCCCCGGGCUCAACCUGGGAACUGCCUUUGUGACUGCAAGGCUUGAGUGCGGCAGAGGGGGGAUGGAAUUCCGCGUGUAGCAGUGAAAUGCGUAGAUAUGCGGAGGAACACCGAUGGCGAAGGCAAUCCACUGGGCCUGCACUGACGCUCAUGCACGAAAGCGUGGGGAGCAAACAGGAUUAGAUACCCUGGUAGUCCACGCCCUAAACGAUGUCAACUGGUUGUUGGGGAAGGUUCCUUCUCAGUAACGUAGCUAACGCGUGAAGUUGACCGCCUGGGGAGUACGGCCGCAAGGUUGAAACUUAAAUGAAUUGACGGGGUCAUAGCUG
rnacentral:rRNA from 1 species